GCCUUCGUAGUGUAGUGGUCAGCACGCUUGACGCCUAUUCGAGAGGUCCGUGUUUCGAGUGCUGGCGAAGGCA